rnacentral:tRNA from 1 species
UCCUGGAUAGCUCAGUCGGUAGAGCAUGAGGCUCUUCGUCUCAGGGUUGUGGGUUUGAGCCCCAUGUUGGGCA